UACGAAGGGGGCUAGCGUUGCUCGGAAUUACUGGGCGUAAAGCGUGCGCAGGCGGUUUUGUAAGCCAGAUGUGAAAUCCCCGGGCUUAACCUGGGAAUGGCAUUUGGGACUGCAAGGCUCGAGUGCGGCAGAGGAGACUGGAAUUCCUGGUGUAGCAGUGAAAUGCGUAGAUAUCAGGAGGAACACCGAUGGCGAAGGCAGGUCUCUGGGCCGUAACUGACGCUGAGGAGCGAAAGCAUGGGGAGCGAACAGG
rnacentral:rRNA from 1 species